rnacentral:rRNA from 1 species
CCUACGGGCGGCUGCAGUGGGGAAUAUUGCACAAUGGGGGAAACCCUGAUGCAGCGACGCCGCGUGAGUGAAGAAGUAAUUCGUUAUGUAAAGCUCUAUCAGCAGGGAAGAAAAUGACGGUACCUGAGUAAGAAGCCCCGGCUAACUACGUGCCAGCAGCCGCGGUAAUACGUAGGAUGCGAGCGUUAUCCGGAUUUAUUGGGUUUAAAGGGUGCGUAGGCGGAAUGCCAAGUCAGCGGUAAAAUCGCGGGGCUCAACCUCGCUCCGCCGUUGAAACUGGCGUUCUUGAGUGGGCGAGAAGUAUGCGGAAUGCGUGGUGUAGCGGUGAAAUGCAUAGAUAUUAGGAGGAACACCAGUGGCGAAGGCGGCCUGCUGGACAGUAACUGACGUUGAGGCUCGAAAGCGUGGGGAGCAAACAGGAUUAGAUACCCGUGUAGUC